rnacentral:tRNA from 1 species
AUGUUUGUAGCUUAAUGGAGAGCGUUUACCUUCUAAGUAAAAGGCUGUAGGUUCGAAUCCUAUGAAGCAUA